GGACAUAUAACUCAAUUUGGUAGAGUAUCAUGUUGACAUCAUGAAAGUUAUUGGUUCAAAUCCGAUUAUGUCCA
rnacentral:tRNA from 1 species